GGAAGCCCCACCUCAUCCCUCAUCCCAUGAGUCACCCCAAAGGUACAAGGCAAGCAACUCUAGUUCCUGGUGUCCAUUCUCUCGGGCUGUCCUUCCAAUGUCCAAUAUCGGUUGCUUCACACGGCUUCUCUCCUCUGCUGAGUUUGGCCAAAGUUCUGGUGCGGACUCAGGCUAGGAAGAUGGCUGUGGGAGGAGGUGGCAUGUCUGGCCAGGAGUCUGCGCUGGUCCUUCUUGUCGCUGUCACCAAUUCUGCCAUCGUGGCACGGCUGGGAGCUGCUUACUCUGGUGAUGUCCAGCUGUGCCCAAGCAGGGCCGGCCCUCAGCUGCCCAGGCUCCUGUCCAGGGACGUGGAAGAGAGAGCAUCCCCUGGCCUGGCUGAGCCUGUGCUUGUCUGCCGCCAGCUCCCUUGCUGUCACCUGCGGCAGCCCCAGGAUGAAUUCUGCAGGACUAGGAAGGACUCCUACAGGCCUGCGAGUCUGGGAAGGAGCCCUCAUACCUGUGCUUGGCAGGACAAACCGAGCCAGUGGUACCCCGAAUGGGCUAUGGACACCCUGGGUACAUAUGGGAGCUCGUCCCAGGUUAAAGAGGCCCUCUUGGUGGCCCUUUGGCUGAGCCUCCCUGCACACAGAUACCCACACUCACCCUGACCUCAUGAGCCUGCCCUGAGCUUUCACUCUGGUAUCGGCCCCAAGUUCCCUUGGGGCUGAGUAGAUCACGAAUGGAAAUACAGUGAUUUCAAAUCCUGAAAAAUCUGAAACCAUCUGUUAGCAUGUCUGAGUAGAGUUAGUGUCACAAAAAAAUCAACCAGGCAAUUAAUUACAGAGUUGAUAGGAGUAUCUGCCCCUUUGAAGUUCACUAUAAUAUAAAUAAGUACUAUAAGUACUUUGGAGGAUAAAAAAUAGUGUAUGUGGGCUGGCAAUCAGAUAGCAUGUAAAUGCAUUAUAAUAACUAAAGAAUAUUCAUAAUCGUUUUUUAAAAAUGUGCUUUAGGGAUGCCUGGGUGCCAUAAUCGGUUAGGUGUCUGACCCUCGGUUUCAGCUUAGGUCGUGAUCUUGGGAUCAUGAGAUCAAGCCCAGCAUUGGGUUCUGUGCUCAGGGUAGAGUCUGCUUGGGAUUCUCUCUCCCUCUGCCCUUCCUGCUCAUGCUCUCUUACUCUCGAAUAAAUAAAUCCUCAAAAAAAUUAAAAUAAAUGUU
rnacentral:lncRNA from 1 species